GCUGGAUGUGGUGGCACACAUCUAUAAUCCCUGUGGCUCUGGAGGCUGAGGCAGGAGGAUCCCAAGUUUAAAGUCAGCCUCAGCAACAUAGUGAGACUUUAAGCAACUUAGAGAGACCCUGUCUCAA
rnacentral:sRNA from 1 species